UGGCUGGGAUGACAAAAACAUACGUUUCUCGAUCCUGAUACUUGAUUUGUUCAAAACCAAACUUUGAUGACCUUUGUGCGUGUCUGAGCCAG